GAUGAACGCUGGCGGCGUGCCUAAUACAUGCAAGUCGAGCGAACAGACGAGGAGCUUGCUCCUCUGACGUUAGCGGCGGACGGGUGAGUAACACGUGGAUAACCUACCUAUAAGACUGGGAUAACUUCGGGAAACCGGAGCUAAUACCGGAUAAUAUAUUGAACCGCAUUGUUCAAUAGUGAAAGACGGUUUUGCUGUCACUUAUAGAUGGAUCCGCGCCGCAUUAGCUAGUUGGUAAGGUAACGGCUUACCAAGGCAACGAUGCGUAGCCGACCUGAGAGGGUGAUCGGCCACACUGGAACUGAGACACGGUCCAGACUCCGACGGGAGGCAGCAGUAGGGAAUCUUCCGCAAUGGGCGAAAGCCUGACGGAGCAACGCCGCGUGAGUGAUGAAGGUCUUCGGAUCGUAAAACUCUGUUAUUAGGGAAGAACAAAUGUGUAAGUAACUAUGCACGUCUUGACGGUACCUAAGCAGAAAGCCACGGCUAACUACGU
rnacentral:rRNA from 1 species